CUGCCAGAAUCUCUCGUACAUGGUCGGGUCACCGCUGCAUGAAGCAAGUAUAAAAAAAAUUAAGAAUUACAAAAAAAAGAGAAAAAUUAGGGCCCUAAUAAAUGUGAUGUUGGCAAUUUAUCAGCAUUCAGCAUGGAAACAUAUUUAUUUAUAUAGGAACAAUAAAUCUAUAGAUUUUUAAUUCGUCGAGCUCUCUCGUAUAUGUUUGAUUUAUUUAAAAAUUUGCUGUUUCAGGAUCUGUCGCCAGAAAUAACCGAGUGGAUUUGAUUCGGCCUCUCCCUGGAAAAUUACUCACAAACACACAGCAAGCAGGUAAAGUUUCUGAAAAACUGUAAAUAGCCUGGGGUAGGUAAGGAAGGCAGAAUUGG
rnacentral:misc_RNA from 1 species